AUACAGAAUAAGGAUUUUAUUCAUCACAUUCAUCUAGCACCUACACAUUUCCACAUCCAUCUUACUCUUAAAUAAAUUGAUGGUGUUGGAAACACUCAUCAUAUGCCAACCAUCCCACUAAACACUCAUCAUAUGCCAACUAUCCCACUAAACACUCAUCAUUUCACUAAACACUCAUUAUUCCACACACUCAUCAUUCCACUAAACACUCUUUACACCUUCUUUUGCCAGCCAUCUUCUACACUUUAACAUCUCAACAUGCAAUUAGCUUUUAUUUAAUCAAAAUCAGCAACCAACAUUCCUCCCAUUCCUCCUAACAUUCUGAUCCAAGCUAUUCUUAUGCUUGAAUUAUAAUUCACUGAUUCCAGCUUUCCAAAUCAGUUUCCAAGAUUUCCCAAAACAAGAAAGAGAUCCAAUUUUGGUGAAUUCAGAAAGAAGAUUUUCCUCAUUUCCUACUCAUAUCAAGGUUACCUCCUACUUUACUUUCUCCAUACAUUCAUUUGUUAAAUUACAAAACUAUGAUUCAAAUGAAAACAGAUCGAACACACGCAUCCAUUACCACUUCUUUUAGACUAUUAUUGUUUCAAUUACAUCAGCUUAUUACCAUCAGAGAACCACCAACAGAAUAAUACACACGCACACAUUUUACUAUAUUUCUAUCUAUUACAAGUACAGAUCAGUUUUUGUAAAUAGAAAUGAAUGAAAAUGAACAGAAUUGAAACCCUAAGUGCUCUAUGUGUGUUUUGUGCGUGUGACUGAAAUUUGGAGAGUUCCUUGUGUUUUGCUUGCGUGUGUGUUGUUCGAAUCGUGAGAGGGGAAGGAGGGAGCAGCAGGCGGCUGUUCGGCGCCGGCAACGGCGGCGCGGCGGCAACUGCCGUCCAGUCCUUGUCCUGCCAAAACGAGAGAGAAGAGGGUAGAGAGAGA